rnacentral:rRNA from 1 species
GACGAACGCUGGCGGCGUGCCUAAUACAUGCAAGUCGAACGCUGAAGGAGGAGCUUGCUUCUCCGGAUGAGUUGCGAACGGGUGAGUAACGCGUAGGUAACCUGCCUGGUAGCGGGGGAUAACUAUUGGAAACGAUAGCUAAUACCGCAUAACAGUAGAUGUUGCAUGACAUUUGCUUAAAAGGUGCAAUUGCAUCACUACCAGAUGGACCUGCGUUGUAUUAGCUAGUUGGUGAGGUAACGGCUCACCAAGGCGACGAUACAUAGCCGACCUGAGAGGGUGCUCGGCCACACUGGGACUGAGACACGGCCCAGACUCCUACGGGAGGCAGCAGUAGGGAAUCUUCGGCAAUGGACGGAAGUCUGACCGAGCAACGCCGCGUGAGUGAAGAAGGUUUUCGGAUCGUAAAGCUCUGUUGUAAGAGAAGAACGAGUGUGAGAGUGGAAAGUUCACACUGUGACGGUAUCUUACCAGAAAGGGACGGCUAACUACGUG